rnacentral:misc_RNA from 1 species
GAUGAAGAACGUAGCGAAAUGCGAUACUUGGUGUGAAUUGCAGAAUCCCGUGAACCAUCGAGUCUUUGAACGCAAGUUGCGCCUCAAGCCAUUAGGUUGAGGGCACGUCUGCCUGGGCGUCACAUAUCGUUGCCUGAUGGCAGUUUCCUCGUGAUGGGUGACUGUGCAGGGCGAAUGAUGGCUUCCCGUGAGCAUUGUUGCCUCAUGGUUGGUUGAAAAUUGAGUCCUUGGUAGGGAGCGCCGUGAUAGAUGGUGGUUGAGUGACGAACGAGACCCAAUCAUGUGAGACCCCUACCGAAUUUGGCCUUCAUGACCCACAUGCGUCUUUGGAACGCUCAUGACGAGACCUCAGGUCAGGCGGGGCUACCCGCUGAGUUUAAGCAUAUCAAUAAGCGGAGGA